GACGAACGCUGGCGGCGUGCCUAAUACAUGCAAGUAGAACGCACAGUUUAUACCGUAGCUUGCUACACCAUAGACUGUGAGUUGCGAACGGGUGAGUAACGCGUAGGUAACCUGCCUGGUAGCGGGGGAUAACUAUUGGAAACGAUAGCUAAUACCGCAUAAUAUUAAUUAUUGCAUGAUAAUUAAUUGAAAGUUGCAAUUGCACCACUACCAGAUGGACCUGCGUUGUAUUAGCUAGUAGGGGAGGUAACGGCUCACCUAGGCGACGAUACAUAGCCGACCUGAGAGGGUGGUCGGCCACACUGGGACUGAGACACGGCCCAGACUCCUACGGGAGGCAGCAGUAGGGAAUCUUCGGCAAUGGACGAAAGUCUGACCGAGCAACGCCGCGUGAGUGAAGAAGGUUUUCGGAUCGUAAAGCUCUGUUGUAAGAGAAGAACGGGUGUGAGAGUGGAAAGUUCACACUGUGACGGUAUCUUACCAGAAAGGGACGGCUAACUACGUG
rnacentral:rRNA from 1 species